rnacentral:rRNA from 1 species
AGUGAACGCUGGCGGUAGGCCUAACACAUGCAAGUCGAACGGCAGCACAGUAAGAGCUUGCUCUUACGGGUGGCGAGUGGCGGACGGGUGAGGAAUACAUCGGAAUCUACUUUUUCGUGGGGGAUAACGUAGGGAAACUUACGCUAAUACCGCAUACGACCUACGGGUGAAAGCAGGGGAUCUUCGGACCUUGCGCGAUUGAAUGAGCCGAUGUCGGAUUAGCUAGUUGGCGGGGUAAAGGCCCACCAAGGCGACGAUCCGUAGCUGGUCUGAGAGGAUGAUCAGCCACACUGGAACUGAGACACGGUCCAGACUCCUAAGGGAGGCAGCAGUGGGGAAUAUUGGACAAUGGGCGGAAGCCUGAUCCAGCCAUACCGCGUGGGUGAAGAAGGCCUUCGGGUUGUAAAGCCCUUUUGUUGGGAAAGAAAAGCAGCAGGUUAAUACCCCGCUGUUCUGACGGUAACCAAAGAAUAAGCACCGGCUAACUUCGUG